AUUGAAAGCUGGCGGCAGGCCUAACACAUGCAAGUCGAGCGGAGCGGCGGACGGGUGAGUUAUGCCUAGGAAUCUGCCUGGUAGUGGGGGCUGACGUACGGAAACGGGCCCUAAUACCGCAUCCUCUCAGAUGAGCCUAGGUCGGAUUAGCUCGUUGUUGGGGUAAAGGCCUACCAAGGCGACGAACCGUACCUGGUCUGAGAGGAUGAUCAGCCCCACGGGAACUGAGACACGGUCCAGACUCCUACGGGAGGCAGCAGUUGGGAAUAUUGGACAAUGGGCGAAAGCCUGAUGCAGCCAUGCCGCGUGUGUGAAGAAGGUCUUCGGAUUGUAAAGCACUUUAAGUUGGGAGGCGUUACCAACAGAAUAAGCACCGGCUAACUGCGUGCCAGCCGCCGCGGUAAUAC
rnacentral:rRNA from 1 species